UCCCGCAUAGUCCAACGGUUAGGAUAUCGCCCUCUCAAGGCGGAGAUCGGGGUUCGAUUCCCCGUGUGGGAA
rnacentral:tRNA from 1 species